rnacentral:tRNA from 1 species
GAGGGUAUAGCUCAGUGGUAGAGUGCAUGUUUAGCAUGCAUGAGGUCCUUGGUUCAAUCCCCAGUACCUCCA